UACGGGGGGGGGCAAGCGUUGUUCGGAAUUACUGGGCGUAAAGGGCUCGUAGGCGGCCAACUAAGUCAGACGUGAAAUCCCUCGGCUUAACCGGGGGAACUGCGUCUGAUACUGGAUGGCUUGAGUUUGGGAGAGGGAUGCGGAAUUCCAGGUGUAGCGGUGAAAUGCGCAGAUAUCAGGAGGAACACCGGUGGCGAAGGCGGAUCUCUGGGCCAUUACUGACGCUGAGGAGCGAAAGCGUGGGGAGCGAACAGG
rnacentral:rRNA from 1 species